rnacentral:tmRNA from 2 species
GGGGCUGAUUCUGGAUUCGACGGGAUUCGCGAAACCCAAGGUGCAUGCCGAGGUGCGGUGGCCUCGUAAAAAACCGCAAAAAAAUAGUCGCAAACGACGAAAACUACGCACUAGCAGCUUAAUACCCUGCUUAGAGCCCUCUCUCCCUAGCCUCCGCUCUUAGGACGGGGAUCAAGAGAGGUCAAACCUAAAAGAGCUCGUGUGGAAACCUUGCCUGGGGUGGAAGCAUUAAAACUAAUCAGGAUAGUUUGUCAGUAGCGUGUCCAUCCGCAGCUGGCCGGCGAAUGUAAUGAUUGGACUAAGCAUGUAGUGCCGACGGUGUAGUAAUUUCGGACGGGGGUUCAAAUCCCCCCAGCUCCACCA